AUUGAACGCUGGCGGCAGUGCCGAACACAUGCAAGUCGAGCGGAAACGAGUUAUCUGAACCUUCGGGGAACGAUAACGGCGUCGAGCGGCGGACGGGUGAGUAAUGCCUGGGAAAUUGCCCUGAUGUGGGGGAUAACCAUUGGAAACGAUGGCUAAUACCGCAUAAUAGCUUCGGCUCAAAGAGGGGGACCUUCGGGCCUCUCGCGUCAGGAUAUGCCCAGGUGGGAUUAGCUAGUUGGUGAGGUAAGGGCUCACCAAGGCGACGAUCCCUAGCUGGUCUGAGAGGAUGAUCAGCCACACUGGAACUGAGACACGGUCCAGACUCCUACGGGAGGCAGCAGUGGGGAAUAUUGCACAAUGGGCGCAAGCCUGAUGCAGCCAUGCCGCGUGUAUGAAGAAGGCCUUCGGGUUGUAAAGUACUUUCAGCAGUGAGGAAGGGAUGUACGUUAAUAGCGUGCAUCUUUGACGUUAGCUGCAGAAGAAGCACCGGCUAACUCCGUGCCAGCAGCCGCGGUAAUACGGAGGGUGCGAGCGUUAAUCGGAAUUACUGGGCGUAAAGCGCAUGCAGGUGGUUUGUUAAGUCAGAUGUGAAAGCCCGGGGCUCAACCUCGGAAUUGCAUUUGAAACUGGCAGACUAGAGUACUGUAGAGGGGGGUAGAAUUUCAGGUGUAGCGGUGAAAUGCGUAAA
rnacentral:rRNA from 1 species